GGGAGGCAGCAGUGGGGAAUAUUGCACAAUGGGCGGAAGCCUGAUGCAGCAACGCCGCGUGAGGGAUGACGGCCUUCGGGUUGUAAACCUCUUUUAGCAGGGAAGAAGCGAAAGUGACGGUACCUGCAGAAAAAGCGCCGGCUAACUACGUGCCAGCAGCCGCGGUAAUACGUAGGGCGCAAGCGUUAUCCGGAAUUAUUGGGCGUAAAGAGCUCGUAGGCGGUUUGUCGCGUCUGCUGUGAAAUCCCGAGGCUCAACCUCGGGUCUGCAGUGGGUACGGGCAGACUAGAGUGCGGUAGGGGAGAUUGGAAUUCCUGGUGUAGCGGUGGAAUGCGCAGAUAUCAGGAGGAACACCGAUGGCGAAGGCAGAUCUCUGGGCCGUAACUGACGCUGAGGAGCGAAAGGGUGGGGAGCAAACAGGCUUAGAUACCCUGGUAGUCCACCCCGUAAACGUUGGGAACUAGUUGUGGGGACCAUUCCACGGUUUCCGUGACGCAGCUAACGCA
rnacentral:rRNA from 1 species